rnacentral:siRNA from 1 species
AUGGAUCUAAGCUCUUGAUACCA